rnacentral:lncRNA from 10 species
CCAACUGGUCCGAUGGAUACUGGGUCUGUUUGCACUUGAGCAUCCAACAUCCGCUUUGGUCCCUGGAGAAAAACAGAAAGACGUGGCAGCCUAUUGAAGCUCUGUAAUGUCAACAGCAACAAUGGCCAUUUAUGUAGCACUUACUCUGUGCUAGGUGUUGGGCUAAAUUAAUAUAUCUCAUUCCUCAGUGCUGGGUAAGAGAAUGGUCUCCAGUCAGAUGCCCGGGUUCGAUACCCAGUUACAUGACUUUCUAGCUUUGUGAAAUCUUGGACAAAUUACUUAUCAUCUCUUUGCGCUUUGGUUUCUUUAUCUUUAAAAUGGAAAUGACAAACUUAUCUCAGAGGGUUGUUCCCAAGAUAAAGUGAGUUCAUGCUUAUAAUGUACUUAGUACCUAGGGGGUACUAAUUCUACCUCACUUUAGCUCCCUCCCCAGUUACCAUCUAGGUUCACCACCCUGUUUUAUUUUCUUCUUUUUUUUUUAUUAUACUUUUAAGUUCUAGGGUACAUGUGAGCAAUGUGCAGGUUUGUUACAUAUGUAUACAUGUGCCAUGUUGGUGUGCUGCACCCAUUAACUCGUCAUGUAACAUUAGAUAUAUCUCCUAAUGCUAUCCUUCCCCCAACCCCCCAUCCCAAACCCUAUUUUAUUCUCUCUCAGAACAUACCACUCUCUGAAAUGAUCUUAUUAUCUAAUUUAUUUGUCUAACAUCUGUCUUCUACACCAGAUUGGAAGCUGCAAGGAUUCUGCGUGUCUCAGUGCCUUGCAGGUUCCUAGCACAUGGUACCUAGCCUUAACAUUGACUGAAUGUGGGUGAAGGAAUGUUGUCAGGCAGAUACAAUUAUUUUAUUUUAUUUUUUUGAGACAAAGUCUUACUCUGUUGCCUAGGCUGAAGUACAGUGGUGGGACUAUGUUCACUGUAGCCUUGAAGUCCUGGGCUCAAAUGAUCCCCCCACGUCAGCCUCCCCAGUAGCUUGGACUACAGGUGCACACCACCAAACUCAGCUAAUUUUAAAAUUUUUUUUGUAGAGACGGGGUCUCAAUUUGUUGUCCAGGAUGGUCUUGAACUGCUGGGCUCAUGUGAUCCUUCUACCUUGGCCUCCCAAAGUGAUGGAGUUACAGGUGUAAGCCACUAUGCCUAGCCUGAGUACUAUUAUUAUUAUUAUUACUUUACCGUUUCUGUCAAGUAUAACUUAUAAGUAGUAAAGUUAACCUUUUCUGUAUUUGGUUCUAUGAGGUUAGACCAACACAAAUAGCCCCCUAAAACCACCAUCCAAAUCAACAUGUCACAUGGUUCUGUCCCCCCUCAGAUCUUUCUUGUGCCUUUUGUGGUCAACCGCUCCCCACCGCAGACCCUGGCAAGCACCGAUCUGUUUUCAUCCCUAGAGUUCUGCCUUUGCCAGGAUGUCAUAUCAUGGGAUCCUAGAGUAUACACAGCCCUUCAGACUAACUUCUUUCAUGUAGCAUAGUGGAUGUGCGAUUCAUCCACCUUGCUGCAUGGAUCAAUUGUGGGCCUCCUUUUAUACUAUAAGACAGUAUAGGGUAGUACAGUAUAAGAUUUAUAUAUUGUAUACAGUAUAUAUAUAUAUAUACACACACACAUAGAGAGAGUAUAGUAUAGAGUAGUAUAAUAACGUAUUGUAGCAUAGUAUAUAUAGAUAGUAUAGUGUAGUAUAAGGUAAUAUAGGAUAGUAUAAUAUAGGGUAGUGUAUAUUUUAUAGUAUAUAUAGUAUACAUAUAUAGUAUAGUCAAGUAUGGUAACUAUAGCACAGUAUAGUUUAGUCCACUGUAUAGUAUAGUAAAUAAAGUAUAGCAAAGCAUAAUGUACAAUAUAGUAUGAUAUAUACAGAACACUAUAGUAUAUAGUAUAGGAAAGGGAAGUAUAAUGUACUAUCACAAAGUAUGUAUGGUCUAGUAUAUGUACAUAGUGUCAUAUGGUUUAAUGCAGUAGAAUAUACAUGAUAUCGUAUAAUAUGUAAUAUAGUAUAUAGAGUGUAUUAUAGCAUAAUAAAUAGAGUGUAGUUUAGUAUACAUGAUGUAUAUAGGGCACAUAUAUAGUAUAUGUAUAUAGUACAUAGACUGUGUAGUGCCCUGUAUAAUCUAGCAUAGUAUAGUAUAUUGUAUUUACUACAUAGUGUAGUGUAAUUUCAUGUAAUUUACCAAGGAAUCAGAUUGCUGGUCUUUGAACGCCAGACCUGCCACUUCCUAGCUGGGUGACUUUGGUCAAAUUGCUUAACCCUCUACUUAAGCCUUAAUUUUACCGUUGAUAAAAUGGGAAUUCACAGGGUAGUUUUGAAGAUUAAGUGUUAGUAUAUGCAAUGUACUUUGAACAAUCUUUGUCACACAGUAAGUGUGAUAAAAGAGUUAUGAUUAUUUUUAGUGGUGGUAGUUGAAUUCACUACUUCAUUCAACAACAUAUAUUGAGGACCUACUGCAGACAAUACAUUGUGUUAUUAAUAGUUUUGGGGCAUCAAGAGAUGACCAGGACACCGUGAAAUACCAAAAGCUUGGGCUCAGGAGUCAGCUGUGGGUUUGGGGAUGCUCCAUCCCUUUCUGGUUGCAUGACCUCUGGCCGGUCCCUCACCGCUGAGAGCCUGCUGCCUCAUCUGUGUGAGGUCUUAGACUGCCAUCCCACCCGGUCCUCACUGCAGCCCACGAGGUUGACGCCACUGUCGCUCUCAGGCUACAGAGGAGGCUGCUGAAGCCCAGCGAGCCCAAGCCACUUCAGUCAAAUUCCUGCCAGUAAGUGGGGUGCCGGCUUCUGUCCCCGAUCUCUGAACCCUGAGCUGGGUAAAGGCCAUUCCCCAACCCCUCCAUUUACCGUGCAUUGUAAUCGCUUGUUGCUGUGAUUAGAGCACAAACUCCCCAUGGCACAGCGGUGCCCGACUCAUCUCUGCACCUUUACAACCCAGGGCAGGGGCUAACUAAAUAAUACUCACAAAAUAGCCUUUCCUGACUAGUUAAACCUCACAAGCAUUGCUCUAAGGGCAUUGUACACUACUGCCCUUCAUCUUCAUGCUAACCCUGUGACGUCAGCACCAUUCACUUCAUUGAUCUGGUAUCUGAAACUCAGCAAGAUGACAGGUCCAAGCUCACUCAGCCACUAGAUGAGAGCUAGGUUCAAGUCCAGGAACAAGCUUCUUGCAAGUGUCUAGAGCCUGGUCUCAGGCUGGCCACGGGUGGCAGCCAUCCAUCCUGCCUCUGUUUGCCCAGCGUGCCUUGCCGUGGAUCCUGGUUCACCCAGGCUCCACCCUGCCCAGUCAACUCACCUCUAUUAAAGCUUACUUCCCCGAGGUUUCCAUCCUUUAGGUUCCAUGAGCUUGAUCUUGGGGCUUGAUGGACUAAACAGCAAACUCAGAUGGCCAAGUGGCUGCCACGGGCCUGAACUUUGCAAUAGAUGAACUUGUACAAGCAUUUUCUUCAUUUAUUAAAAAAAAAUUAGAUGCUGGCAUUUAAAAAUUAGGUAUUUGCUCUUAAAAAUUCUCCACCUUUGUUAUUUUCUCUUGACUAAAUGGACAGGUCCUGCCACAAUGGGUCUGCAGUCCCCCAAGGUAACAUGUGGCUGGUGCUGAGGAGGGGCACCCCCUUUAGGUGGGCACCUGCCCUUCAGGUAGCCACAGACCACACCUGACUCACUGGCCUCAUACAUACACAUGCCCUUCUGGCCUCACUGGGACUCCACCUUGGAGGCCAGAGACAUAAAUGCAACCCCUUUCCUGCCUUAUAUACCAGGACUACACGUCACAGUUCACAAGGCCAAACCAGACCCAUUCUCUUACCUGUUCUCUCUCCAGCCCAGUGAGGUGGACAGUGAUUAUUAUUCACCCUAUUUUACAGAUGCAGAAACUGAGGCUCCAAGAUGACCUAGGACUAGGUCAUGCGGUAACGGCCUGGCCACUUUGACUUGGAAUCUGGCCCUCAGCUCACCUGUUGUCCCCGGCUCUCUUCUGUUCACUGCCCGCUCUUUCCAACCCUCGGUCUCAGGCUCCUUGCAGUGACUGCGCUGAUUGUCACAAGCCUCGGUUCAGCCCACACCAGUGUGGACAGAUGUCUUCCCUUUUCAAGCCUCCAUUUGUUCACCUGCUAAACCUGCCUGCAGAUUGCGCUGCACACAAUCUAGCACUUCAGGGGCUCAUGAAAAUGGGAAAGGGGAAGGCUGGGAAAGGGCCAUCAAAGAAGUGGUGCUUAGGGGAAGGGAGAAACCCAGUCUUCCAUCAAUCAGAAUAGUUUCACUUUUAUCAUAUGUGUCUGUGUGUGCGUAUAUGCAUAUAUCCGCACACACACACACACACACCCAGGUUUUGUGACAUUUUCUUUUGUAAACAAAAAAGUCCCUUUGCUCAAAAAGAAAGGAAAAUGUUUUCAAACAGUUGGACUUUGUGAAUGCCAAGGGCUUCCUUCCAGUUCUUUUCAGAUUUUUGAAAACCAAGUGGGUUGCUCUCAGUUAGAACUCAAGUAGCAUGAUGGAGAAGGAGGAAAAAAGGACCUGACUAACGAGGACGUCACUGUGAGACAAAGAUCAUGCAGGGAUCGGCCUGCGGUGUGUCUCAUUUCCUGUGGGUAACAGGCACCACAAUAGUUCUGUGGGUGGUGACAGGCUCGGCUGCCAGCAUUCCCCUCCCAGGAAGGCGGUCAGGCAACCCUGGGGAAUGUGUCCAGCUUGAAAGUCUUCGAGGCUUGGUCUUUGGAAAGCGGCAGGGAAGCCCCCCUCCGUCCUCCAUCAUUGCUGGAGGCCUUGUGACACUGGGACGAUGCAGGACUUGGGGUCUAGGGGGCCUGAGCUGAAUGCUGCCUCUGUCUCUGACAACCUGUGGAAUGUUCAGCAAAAGACACAGCUUCUUGGAGGCCUGGCUUAUGUGUCUGGGAGGUGUGGCAGAAGCAGUCCCAGCCUGAAGGGAUGCUGCCAUCCUAAAGAGAUGAGGUCUGUAAAGGAGUGUGGUCCCAGAGGAGGGACUCGGUGUCUAGAACUGUAAUUAGUGUCUCAAACCUGUCCACUUCUUGUCACUUCUUCAGGAAUCACCAGGCCAAUCUCCAUCAGCUCUCCCAAGAAAUAUGACCUGUAUUAACUAGCUCCUAAUGACCUUCAACAGCCAUUCUCCACCACAGCAGCAAAAUAAAAUCUUCGAAUGUUAUCAACAGGGGCCAAGACUUCUUACUUAAUAUCUGUAAGUGCAACAGCUCAAUGCAUCAAAAUGGUACUUCCAUAGAACACAUUACUAAAGAAAUCACAACAAUGGAGCAUGUGGUUGUUCUACCUUCGUAUCCUUUCUGAGAAUACCAGCUGCAGAAGCACAGGAAGCAGCAAUUACACAUGAGUCAAAGGGUGAGCUUUAGAACAACAAAAUGACAACAAAACAACAAACUGAGUUGGAAUUCUGGCUCUCCCGCUUACCAGCUCCCGGACCGUGGAAAAAUCCCAUAAAUACUCACUAGUCUCUGUGUCCUUAUGUCCAUCAUGGGGCAGAGAGAGCACUUGUUUCCUAGAGUUCUCUAUUAAUAAAUGAGAUACUGCGUGCAAAGUGCCUAGCAGACAAUAAAUAAACGGUAGCUCUCAUUGUUGUUACUGCCGAUAACUGAAAAGUGCUGAACGACUACAGAGACCCUCUUAGGGUAGAAAGGAAUGCAAGUCAUUGGUAGGGACAGGAAUUGACCAAAUUAAUGCUUCCUUCAGAAAUCUUUCCUUAAAGAGCAAAUCAGUAUUAACAUUUUAAUGCUCAGAGAAGAAUUUCAUAUGGAAGACUUUCGGUUUUCUGUUUUGUAACUACCGUCACAGACCACCCUCUUUCCACCUCCAAUAGUACAUUUCAACAGAUUUUGUUAGACUUACUAGAUUGAAUGUAAUUAAUUUAAAAAACCCUCUGAUUUCAUGGCUGCCUCCUCAUUUGGACUUUUAAUUUACCCAUUAUUAAAGCUCACAGUAUUUCUCUAAGCCUGAGAACAUUAUUCCAACAAAGAUUUUCUUACAAAUCUAAUGGUCCAAAGAAAGAUAUGAGGAGGAGUAAAUGAAAUAAGGUAGGUGAAAAUAGUUUGGAGGAGGAAAGCAUUUUCAAGUGUAAGGUGUUAUUAAUAUUGACGAAGUAUAAAACUGUAUCUAGAUCUACCACCUUUCUGGUUUCAUUUGCCUACCUGCUUUGUGGACACAUGAAUGCAGUAUUCUACCCACUCACUUUAUAAAAAUACACCAGCACUUCAAAUAUUCAAUUUCUUGACAUACAGCUGAAUUAAUAUGUAUAAGAAUCUUUUCCUAUUUAGGGCAUGACAGAUGUCUUAGAUAUUCCUCGCAAUUGUUUAAAAUCCUGCAGGAGCCCGCAGGAUUUCUGUGAAGUGCUACAUCUCUAUGUGUUGAAUGCACUGUUAGGACUUACAUGAUUCUGUUUUCCUUUCCCUAAAAUAUAGUUAUUUUAAAAAUGAUACUUUUCCUAUUUUUAUUUAUUUAUUUAAGACGGAGUCUCGCUCUGUCGCCCAGGCUGGAGUGCAGUGGCGCGAUCUCAGCUCACUGCAAGCUCUGCCUCCCGGAUUCACGCCAUUCUCCUGCCUCAGCC